UACGUAGGGGGCGAGCGUUAUCCGGAAUUACUGGGCGUAAAGCGCACGCAGGCGGUUCGCCAAGUUUGGAGUGACAGUUGUCGGCUCAACCGACAAAGGACUUCAAAAACUGGUGAACUUGAGGACGAGAGAGGAACAUGGAACUCCAGGUGUAGUAGUGAAAUGCGUAGAUAUCUGGAAGAACACCAAUGGCGAAGGCAGCCUUCUGGGCCAACACUGACGCUCAUGCACGAAAGCGUGGGGAGCAAACAGG
rnacentral:rRNA from 1 species